AUUGAACGCUGGCGGCAUGCUUUACACAUGCAAGUCGAACGGCAGCGCGGGCUUCGGCCUGGCGGCGAGUGGCGAACGUGUGAGUAAUGCAUCGGAACGUGCCCAGUAGUGGGGGAUAGCCCGGCGAAAGCCGGAUUAAUACCGCCUACGACCUGUGGGUGAAAGCGGGGGACCGAAAGGCCUCGCGCUAUUGGAGCGGCCGAUGGCUGAUUAGCUAGUUGGUGGGGUAAAGGCUUACCAAGGCGACGAUCCGUAGCUGGUCUGAGAGGACGACCAGCCACACUGGGACUGAGACACGGCCCAGACUCCUACGGGGGGCAGCAGUGGGGAAUUUUGGACAAUGGGGGCAACCCUGAUCCAGCCAUGCCGCGUACGGGAAGAAGGCCUUCGGGUUGUAAACCGCUUUUGUUCGGGAAGAAAUCCUCUGGGCUAAUACCCCGUGGGGAUGACGGUACCGGAAGAAUAAGCACCGGCUAACUACGUG
rnacentral:rRNA from 1 species